rnacentral:rRNA from 1 species
GAGUUUGAUCGUGGCUCAGAUUGAACGCUGGCGGCGUGCUUAACACAUGCAAGUCGAGCGGUAACAGGCGUAGCAAUACGUGCUGACGAGCGGCGAACGGGUGAGUAAUGCUUCGGAAUCUUCCUCGUAGUGGGGAAUAACCUGGGGAAACUCAGGCUAAUACCGCAUACGAACUACGGUUGAAAGCAGGGGAUCGCAAGACCUUGCGCUAUGAGAUGAGCCGAAGUCGGAUUAGCUAGUUGGUGAGGUAACGGCUCACCAAGGCGACGAUCCGUAGCUGGUCUGAGAGGACGACCAGCCACACUGGGACUGAGACACGGCCCAGACUCCUACGGGAGGCAGCAGUGGGGAAUAUUGGACAAUGGGGGCAACCCUGAUCCAGCGACGCCGCGUGUGUGAAGAAGGCCUGCGGGUUGUAAAGCACUUUUAGUGGGGAUGAAAAGCCGAAGGCUAAUACCUUUCGGUCUUGACCUAACCCAAAGAAAAAGCACCGGCUAACUCUGUGCCAGCCGCCGCUGU